AGAAUAUCUUUGUGAGUUACGACAUGGAGCACAUUGACUUUGAGACUGAAGACAGAACCCCAAACGGUGUGUGUUUCCAGGAAAACAUGGGGACGAACAACAACUGCUACGUGGUGUCAGAGAGCGGCAGUGAGAGCGACUAAAGAGAACAAAGACAAACACUAAGAAACAAAAAUCACUAGUCAUCUGUGAAUAUCUGAGGGUUCAAAUAACGUUAUGACUUGCUGUAUUUGGGAUCUUCGUUCUGACCUUGAUAGAUUUUAGGAAUAGAAACUUAGAUCAACUUUUCCUUGUUGUUUUAGCACCUUGAGAAUUAAGCUAAGGAAAGUGUUGAGUUGGAUUCACAGUUUCACGUUAGAGGAACCAAAACUUUUGUCAACGCAAAUCGUAGCUUUUUUUCUUGAUUUAAAAUGUUUGAAAUUGUGUUACCUGGUUCAAUGGGAUUUCUAUGUGAUUUUGAUUGUUGCAAAAAUAAUCUGUGUCAAAUAAAUGUUUAUGAUACU